rnacentral:rRNA from 1 species
GGUGCUUCUUCUUCGGAAGAGGCAACCGGCAGACGGCUCAGUAACACGUGGAUAACUUACCCUUGGGAUCGGGAUAACCCCGGGAAACUGGGGCUAAUAUCGGAUAGAGCAUCGAUCGCUGGAAUGCACGAUGUUCGAAAGCUGCGGCGCCCAAGGAUAGGUCUAUGGCCGAUUAGGUUGUUGUUGAUGUAACGGAUCAACAAGCCUCCGAUCGGUACGGGUUGUGAGAGCAAUAGCCCGGAGAUGGGUUCUGAGAGAAGAACCCAGGUCCUACGGGACGCAUCAGGCGCGAAAACUUUACAAUGUGCGAAAGCACGAUAAGGGAACUCUGAGUGCCUCUUAAGGAGGCUGUUCAGAUGUCUAAAAAGCAUCUGAAGGAAGGGCUGGGUAAGACUGGUGCCAGCCGCCGCGGUAACACCAGCAGCCCAAGUGGUAGUCAUGUUUACUGGGUCUAAAGCGUCCGUAGCCGGCUGGGUAAGUUCCUUGGGAAAUUUGAUCGCUUAACGAUCAAGCUACCUGGGGAUACUACUUGGCUUGGGACUGGGAGAGGUUAGAGGUACCUUAAGGGUAGGGGUGAAAUCCGUUAAUCCUUGGGGGACCACCAGUAGCGAAGGCGUCUGACCAGACCGGAUCCGACGGUGAGGGACGAAGGCUAGGGGAGCGAACCGGAUUAGAUACCCGGGUAGUCCUAGCUGUAAACGAUGCGGGCUAGGUGUUGGCAUUACUGCGAGUGAUGCCAGUGCCGAAGGGAAGCUGUUAAGCCCGCCAUCUGGGGAGUACGGUCGCAAGGCUGAAACUUAAAGGAAUUGGCGGGGGAGCACCACAACGGGUGGAGCUUGCGGUUCAAUUGGAUUCAACGCCGGAAAUCUCACCGGAGGCGACAGCGAGAUGAAGGUCAGGCUAAAGACCUUACCGGAUUAGCUGAGAGGUGGUGCAUGGCCGUCGGCAGUUCGUGUUGUGAAACAUCCUGUUAAGUCAGGCAACGGGCGAGACCCGUGCUCACAGUUGCCAGCAUCUCGAAAGAGGAUGGGCACUCUGUGGGGACCGCCACCGCUAAGGUGGAGGAAGAGGCGGGCCACGGUAGGUCAGUAUGCCCCGAAUCCUCCGGGCUACACGCGUGCUACAAUGGGUAGUACAAUGGGUAUCGACUCCGAAAGGGGAAGGUAAUCCCCUAAAGCCACCCUCAGUUGGGAUCGAGGGCUGCAACUCGCCCUCGUGAACCUG